rnacentral:lncRNA from 1 species
AGCUUUUAGGUUGAGCAUUUCUUUAAACAUUGCAGGCAAAUGCUGACACCUGCUAUGCUCGGUAGCUAAGAGCAUGCAUAUUCCAUUCAAAAUCAAGUAGAACAGCAACAGCAGCAGCAUGGUAGAAAGGCAGAAUGGAUGGAAAAGCUGUGAAUGAUAUUCAGAGUAAGUGUCUAGCAGGGAAAAUCAUCAUCUGGCAUAUAGGGAAGAAAGUAUAUGCAAAUUUAUCCCAAGGAAAUCAAAUAAGUAAAAUAAGUUAUUGGUAAAGCAAAUCUACACUUAACUGAAAAUUGGGCUGCAGAUGAAUAAGAAACACUAAAUUUAAAUCGAAACUAAGAAAUAUAAAUUUUAAUGGACAGUAGGGAAUUUCUCCUGAAAAGGAAAUCCACAAGAAAUGAAAAAGUGAAAAGCAGAAAGAAACAACUUAAAGUACUCAAAUUCAAGAUUGAGGAAAUAUCAAGGUAAAUUUGCAUGUGAAAAUAACACAUAGGAAAAUAAAGUAUUUAACAAAAUAUGAUUGCCAAAAUUCAACCACAAUUAAAAUGGUAAGUAAUUUAACCUGCCAAGUAAAAUAUGUUAAAACAUAAAUGAUAAUUGUAGAAUGAGAAUAAGUAAUAAGAAAUCAAAAUCUGUGUUUCUACUUCAGAAAUAAAAAUUCAAUAGCAUACCAUUGUUAGCAUACUCAGAGUUUAUUUCAGUCCUGUUGAGUGAAAGAAUAUGAUAGACAUAAGCUUCAAAUAAUUGAUAACACAGAGAGAAUACCUAAACUAAGACAGUGAGAAAAACUAUGUUUUAGAGAUGGCUCGGGGAAAAUACUUUAUAGAUUUUGAGUUUCUAAUAAUUCAAUAGCAUACUAUGUUUCCGAAUACCUGCUAUUGUUGCAUGAGGAAAGGGACACAUAUUUUGACAUUUCCUCUCACUACAUUUCUACAAUGCUGUAAUCGAAGAAGAUAACCCUAUUUCUGUAAUGCAGUAAAAAAAUUAAACCCCA